GCAAGAAAUGGUUAUCUAUCUAUAUACAGAUUCUCAAAAUGUGGAUAACAAGAUAAACUUGAGGUCCUAAAUCCCAAAUCAUGCCCCGGUAGCCAAUGUCCUAAUGGUAAUAUUCUUGGCACUUAACUAGUUGCCGCUGUUGUUAGAAACCCAGUGAAUUGCCAGUCCUGUGCUCUAAAGAGUUGUAAGAGCUGAUAUACCCUUGGCAGAGCCUUUGAAAACUCAAAGUCAGCUUUGCACUGCAGUGAGGUAUCAGAGCAAGACUGCAGAGAGAGGAAUCUUCCUGUAGUUUUGUGUAAGUCAACAGAAGGUGAAGAUAUAUCUGAAUGGGGCAGGAGCUUUUCAAGCAGCUUUCCUUGAGAAGAGAGCAUUAAACAGGAAAGAAACUUUCACAAUGGCUUGCCAAUUGGAAAAUCAAAAGUGAGAAGAAAGGGGAAAAACAAGAUUAGCUGGACAAAAAGAGGAAAGAAAUAAGGAACUUGGAAAUUCAUUCCAGAGCCUGUCAUGGAGGUAGGAACUCUGGGAUGAUCCUACUCACGAUCAGCUCUUGAGCACUGCUUCUUCUUAUGUUCCAUGUUUGGGUGCCAUAUGUUGUGAUAUGGGAGCUACCUGCCAGUGGUAGCUGGAAGUCUAACUCAGACCUGUACAAUGGAUCUCUUCAUGUGAGAGGAUGAUGACAAUGACAUAAGGAAAUUGAGAGGCAGUUGCUGUUCUCUGGUGUAUCUUCAAGAAUAAGACUCAAGAAUAAAGCCUACAGACUUCAGACGACUGCAGACUCCAUCCUUGACCAGACUUAUGGUGGCUCUUCAUCUUCCUCACUUCUCCAUUUGACAACAAAGCCCAUCCACAGAUCCUCCAGAAAGCUAACCCGGACUUGACAUUUUUGGUGUCCAAAUGUGUGGCACUAGACUUGGGGCCCUAGAUGCGAGGCUCUGGCCAUAACACUUACACUCAGGAGUUUGACUGAAGCAAUCAUAAACUCAAUGGAGAAGACCCUGUGAUCCCAAAAUAGGGUGAAUACAAAAACAGACAAGUGGGAAACUUUGUUAAGGGCUAAACUAGUCACUUUUGUUCUUCAGCUGAAAUGGGCAAAUAUUAAGAAAAGAGGAUUCCCCCACCCUGAGGGCAGUGUGUAGCAUGCAUAGUUAGAUUAAUAAAGAAGCAAGAUUCAUUGAUGACUUGGAAGCAGAUAACUGGACUCUUAAAUAUAUUAAAGUGCACAUCUCCUUGGCUCUCUAAGGAAGAAAAAUAGAGCUAGAUAUGUGGAAACUAGUGGGAGAGCAACUAAUUGAAUAUUAUGAAGCUAAAGUUCCUGAUUCAAUUCCUGAGGAAACAUUCCUUAUAUACAGUAUAAUACAAUUGACUUUAAAGGACCCCACAAGUUCUAAAAAAAAAGGAAAAAUUUCAAUGUAGAUACCUAGACAAAAAAGAGUGAGGAGAAAGAGCAGGAAGGGGAUGGUACUGACAAAGCAGCUGAAACUCAUGGAGAAUUGAACAAGAAAGGAGUUAAGGAUAGUGCUGAUAAACUUAAGGGAUAUGGUGCUUCUUACUUUCACAACUCAGUUUCACUUCUGCCUACCCCUGAGCAGACACCUUAGGGCAUUCCCCAUCUCCUGACUAUCCUCUCCCAACUUCACUUUAGUGAAUAGAGGUAUGAGGAGGAGUGGAAGGGGCAGUGACACCAUCAACAUUACCCGUGCAGCAGCUUUAUCAACCUCUUAUGACACAAUUACAAAAGACAUUAGCUAAAGCUAAAGAGGAAGGACAGGA